rnacentral:rRNA from 1 species
GACGAACGCUGGCGGCGUGCUUACCACAUGCAAGUCGAACGAAGAGCGCUGGAAGCUUGCUUCUCUCAAUCUUAGUGGCGAACGGGUGAGCAACGCGUAAUCAACCUGCCCUUUAGAGGGGGACAACAGUUGGAAACGACUUCUAAUACCGCAUCCGAUCUAAUCUCGGCAUCGAGGAAAGAUGUAAGGUGGCCUCUACAUGUAAGCUAUCACUGAAGGAGGUGGUUGCGUCUGAUUAGCCAGAUGGGGGGGUAACGGCCCACCAAGGCGAUGAGAGGUAGCCGGACGGGGAGGAUGAGCGGCCGCAUUGGGACGGGGACACGGCCCAGUCGCCUACGGGAGGCAGCAGUGGGGAAUCUUCCGGAAUGGACGAAAGUCUGACGGAGCAACGCCGCGUGAGCGAUGACGGACUUCGGGUUGUAGAGCUCUGUUAAUCGGGACGAAAGGGCUUCUGGCGAAUAGUGAGAAGGAUUGACGGUACCGGAAUAGAAAGCCACGGCUAACUACGUG